rnacentral:rRNA from 1 species
CAGUAGCCACGGGAAUACGGAGGGUGCAAGCGUUAAUCGGAAUUACUGGGCGUAAAGCGCACGCAGGCGGUUUGUUAAGUCAGAUGUGAAAUCCCCGAGCUUAACUUGGGAACUGCAUUUGAAACUGGCAAGCUAGAGUCUUGUAGAGGGGGGUAGAAUUCCAGGUGUAGCGGUGAAAUGCGUAGAGAUCUGGAGGAAUACCGGUGGCGAAGGCGGCCCCCUGGACAAAGACUGACGCUCAGGUGCGAAAGCGUGGGGAGCAAACAGGAUUAGAUACCCCGGUAGUCCCUGUCUCUAUACC